rnacentral:rRNA from 1 species
UGGUGGAGUGAUUUGUUUGGUUGAUUCCGUGAACGAACGAGAUCUCAGCCUCUAAAUAGGGGCCGGGUCGACUGCGGUGGAUGGCGCGGGCUUCGGCCAUGCGCUCCGCCUGACGCCGGCUGCCUUCUUCGAACAUCGUGCGUGUUUAGCACGAUGGAGCGAGCCAAUAGCA